rnacentral:rRNA from 1 species
GACGAACGCUGGCGGCGCGCUUAACACAUGCAAGUCGAACGGAAAGGCCCUGCUUUUGUGGGGUGCUCGAGUGGCGAACGGGUGAGUAACACGUGAGUAACCUGCCCUUGACUUUGGGAUAACUUCAGGAAACUGGGGCUAAUACCGGAUAGGAGCUCCUGCUGCAUGGUGGGGGUUGGAAAGUUUCGGCGGUUGGGGAUGGACUCGCGGCUUAUCAGCUUGUUGGUGGGGUAGUGGCUUACCAAGGCUUUGACGGGUAGCCGACCUGAGAGGGUGACCGGCCACAUUGGGACUGAGAUACGGCCCAGACUCCUACGGGAGGCAGCAGUGGGGAAUAUUGCACAAUGGGCGGAAGCCUGAUGCAGCAACGCCGCGUGCGGGAUGACGGCCUUCGGGUUGUAAACCGCUUUCGCCUGUGACGAAGCGUGAGUGACGGUAAUGGGUAAAGAAGCACCGGCUAACUACGUG